rnacentral:rRNA from 1 species
GAUGAACGCUGGCGGCGUGCUUAACACAUGCAAGUCGAACGAAGCUGCCCAAAGGAAGUUUUCGGAUGGAAUUUAGGUAGACUUAGUGGCGGACGGGUGAGUAACGCGUGGAUAACCUGCCUUAUACAGGGGGAUAACGGAGAGAAAUUUCUGCUAAGACCGCAUAAGACCACAGCACCGCAUGGUGCAGGGGUAAAAUAUUUAUAGGUAUAAGAUGGAUCCGCGUCCGAUUAGCUUGUUGGUGAGGUAGAAGCUCACCAAGGCGACGAUCGGUAGCCGGCCUGAGAGGGUGAACGGCCACAUUGGGACUGAGACACGGCCCAAACUCCUACGGGAGGCAGCAGUGGGGAAUAUUGGACAAUGGGGGAAACCCUGAUCCAGCGACGCCGCGUGAGUGAAGAAGUAUUUCGGUAUGUAAAGCUCUAUCAGCAGGGAAGAAAAUGACGGUACCUGACUAAGAAGCCCCGGCUAACUACGUGCCAGCAGCCGCGGUAAUACGUAGGGGGCAAGCGUUAUCCGGAUUUACUGGGUGUAAAGGGAGCGCAGACGGCGAAGCAAGUCUGAAGUGAAAUGCAUGGGCUCAACCCAUGAAUUGCUUUGGAAACUGUUUGGCUUGAGUGUCGGAGGGGUAAGCGGAAUUCCUAGUGUAGCGGUGAAAUGCGUAGAUAUUAGGAGGAACACCGGAGGCGAAGGCGGCUUACUGGACGACAACUGACGUUGAGGCUCGAAGGCGUGGGGAGCAAACAGG